rnacentral:rRNA from 1 species
AGGAUGAACGCUGGCGGUCUGCUUAACACAUGCAAGUCGAACGGGCGUAGCAAUACGUUAGUGGCGGACGGGUGAGUAACGCGUGAGAAUCUACCUUCAGGACGGAGACAACAGUUGGAAACGACUGCUAACCCCCGAUGUACUGAAAAGGCAAAUAUUUAUAGCCUGAAGAAGAGCUCGCGUCCGAUUAGCUAGUUGGAGAGGUAAAAGCUCACCAAGGCGACGAUCGGUAGCUGGUCUGAGAGGACGAUCAGCCACACUGGGACUGAGACACGGCCCAGACUCCUACGGGAGGCAGCAGUGGGGAAUUUUCCGCAAUGGGCGAAAGCCUGACGGAGCAAGACCGCGUGGGGGAAGAAGGCUCUUGGGUUGUAAACCCCUUUUCUCUGGGAAGAAAGUUGUGAAAGCAGCCUGACGGUACCAGAGGAUCAGCAUCGGCUAACUCCGUGCCAGCAGCCGC